rnacentral:rRNA from 1 species
UACGUAGGGUGCAAGCGUUGUCCGGAAUUAUUGGGCGUAAAGAGCUCGUUAGGCGGUUUGUCGCGUCUGCUGUGAAAACUCGGGGCUCAACUCCGAGCUUGCAGGUGGGUACGGGCAGACUAGAGUGCGGUAGGGGAGACUGGAAUUCCUGGUGUAGCGGUGGAAUGCGCAGAUAUCAGGAGGAACACCGAUGGCGAAGGCAGGUCACUGG